AGUCCUUGAUCUUUGAUUAUGUCAAAGUCACCCCAUCCACGGGUGUCCACGGCAUCGUUGGGGUUAAGCCACUUAGCCAUGGAGGCAAUUGAAUGCGCAACAAGGGAUCUCUAACCUUCAAACCGUUUGGGGGAGAAUACUCUAUGAUAUGAUUGAAAAUCUUUGAUCAGAGUAUGAAUGAGAUUUAGGAAGGCGUUCCAAAUCACAUUCAAGGUAAUCAUAUAAGUAAACGAAUCACAUUGGAUAGUAGACAUGAAUAAACUAUCAAACCAAACAAUGUGCUCAAGAGUAUUGUAUUAGAGAAAGACCGUAUUGCAUUUGUAAUCCUAAACUGAAUAGGUUCUCCACCUCUUCUGAUUAGCUUGGGUAACCAUGAUAUGCUGCUAGGUGUCACUCAUGGUUUGUGGAAGUCCUAAACGUGUAUAAUCACUAAAGGGAGAAUUGAAAGUAAGUUUCAAUUCACAAUCGGUUUGAAAGAGUU
rnacentral:lncRNA from 1 species